rnacentral:lncRNA from 1 species
GCAUUGUGCAUGCUUUCCUGUUAAAUGCAAAUCAGCUGUGUUCACUGUCUUUCUGUCUGUGCUCUGGCUCCAACAGGUGGCACAGGACGAGGCAGCUGCAGCGAGCUCCAGGACAAGGAGGAGCUCUUGCAGCAGGGGUCUCCUCCUGAACACAGUGAUCGUAUCACCGAGGAGUCCUGCGACGCCCCCUGCGCUGCUGAAAGUCUUUUUAUUUUCCCACACACCCGCUCGCGCCCCUCGCUGCCCCCCACCAUGCCAACGCUGCCGGAAGAAGAAGAGGACUCCCCCGAGGAUCUGGACAGUUCCUCCAGCUCCCCCAGUACAUUGACACCAGGUGAAAGUCGAGCUGUCGUCAUGAAUGCCCCCACCAUCGUCUACCCACAGCAGGCCACUAUUGUCCAACAAGAUGGACGACCCCUCGAGCAGGCCAGGUAA